AGAAAGCAACAAUUCUAAUUCAAACAAUACACAAGGUUUGGAGCAUUAUAGUUUUGUGACUAAUGUUUUAAGUAGUCAGCAGAAGUGUGAAGAACACAGAAAAAAACAGAUGCCCUGAGAUGUAGCUGUC